rnacentral:rRNA from 1 species
GACGAACGCUGGCGGCGUGCUUAACACAUGCAAGUCGAACGGAAGGGCGCGGCGUUUGCUGCUUGCUCGAGUGGCGAACGGGGGAGUAACACGUGAGUAACCUGCCCUUAACUGAGGGAGAACUUCAGGAGACUGGGGCGAAUACCGGAGAGAAGCUCCUGAUCCGUGGGGGGGGUUGGAAAGUGUCGGCGGUGGGGGAUGGACUCGCUGCUUACUAGCUGGUUGGUGGGGUAGGUACGUACAAGGGCUUUGACGGGUAGCCUGCAUGAGAGGGUGACCGGGCACAUUGCGACUGCGGUACGGACCAGAAGCCUACGGGAGGCAGUAGUGGGGAAUCUUGCACAACGGGCGGACGUGUGAUGCAGCAACGCCGCGUGCGGGAUGCCGUCCUUCGGGUGGUAAACAGCUUUCGACUGUGCCGAAGAGUGCGUGACGGUAACGGGUAAAGAAGCAACGGCUAACUACGUG